GACGAACUCUGGCGGCGUGCUUAACACAUGCAAGUCGAGCGGAAAGGCCCCUUCGGGGGUACUCGAGCGGCGAACGGGUGAGUAACACGUGAGUAACCUGCCUCUGACUUUGGGAUAACCCCGGGAAACCGGGGCUAAUACCGGGUAUGACCUGUGCCGGCAUCGGUGCGGGUGGAAAGCUUUUGCGGUCAGGGAUGGACUCGCGGCCUAUCAGCUUGUUGGUGGGGUGAUGGCCUACCAAGGCGACGACGGGUAGCCGGCCUGAGAGGGCGACCGGCCACACUGGGACUGAGACACGGCCCAGACUCCUACGGGAGGCAGCAGUGGGGAAUAUUGCACAAUGGGCGGAAGCCUGAUGCAGCGACGCCGCGUGAGGGAUGACGGCCUUCGGGUUGUAAACCUCUUUCGACAGGGACGAAGCGCGAGUGACGGUACCUGGAGAAGAAGCGCCGGCCAACUACGUGCCAGCAGCCGCCGUAAAAC
rnacentral:rRNA from 1 species